GACGAACGCGGCGGCGUGCUUAACACAUGCAAGUCGAACGAAGAGCGACGGAAGCUUGCUUCUAUCAAUCUUAGUGGCGAACGGGUGAGUAACGCGUAAUCAACCUGCCCUUCAGAGGGGGACAACAGUUGGAAACGACUGCUAAUACCGCAUACGAUCUAAUCUCGGCAUCGAGGAUAGAUGAAAGGUGGCCUCUACAUGUAAGCUAUCACUGAAGGAGGGGAUUGCGUCUGAUUAGCUAGUUGGAGGGGUAACGGCCCACCAAGGCGAUGAUCAGUAGCCGGUCUGAGAGGAUGAACGGCCACAUUGGGACUGAGACACGGCCCAGACUCCUACGGGAGGCAGCAGUGGGGAAUCUUCCGCAAUGGACGAAAGUCUGACGGAGCAACGCCGCGUGAGUGAUGACGGCCUUCGGGUUGUAAAGCUCUGUUAAUCGGGACGAAAGGCCUUCUUGCGAAUAGUGAGAAGGAUUGACG
rnacentral:rRNA from 1 species